CUGUCACAACGGCUUCCUGGCGUGACAGAUGAAAUCUAACGGAGCA
rnacentral:ncRNA from 1 species